rnacentral:rRNA from 1 species
GAUGAACGCUGGCGGCGUGCUUAACACAUGCAAGUCGAACGGAGCUAUAAUGAAUAGUUUACUAUGCAAUAUAGCUUAGUGGCGGACGGGUGAGUAACGCGUGAGGACCUAUCCAUGGCAGGGGGACAACAGUUGGAAACGGCUGCUAAUACCGCAUAAGCGCUACGGCGUAAAAGGAGAGAUCCGGCGAUGGAGGGACUCGCGUCCUAUCAGCUAGUAGGUUGGGUAAAAGACUGACCUAGCGAUGACGGGUAGCCGACCUGAGAGGGUGCACGGCCACACUGGGACUGAGAUACGGCCCAGACUCCUACGGGAGGCAGCAGUGGGGAAUAUUGGGCAAUUGGGGGGAAACCCCUGACCCAGCGACGCCGCGUGAGUGAUGAAGUCUCUCGGGACGUAAAGCUCUGUCGUAUGGGAAGAAGCAGAUGACCGGUACCAUACGAGAAAGCCCCGGCAAACUACGUGCCAGCAGCCGCCGU